AACGAACGCUGGCGGCAUGCCUAAUACAUGCAAGUCGAACGAGAUCUUCGGAUCUAGUGGCGCACGGGUGCGUAACGCGUGGGAAUCUGCCCUUGGGUUCGGAAUAACUUCUGGAAACGGAAGCUAAUACCGGAUGAUGACGUAAGUCCAAAGAUUUAUCGCCCAAGGAUGAGCCCGCGUAGGAUUAGGUAGUUGGUGAGGUAAAGGCUCACCAAGCCGACGAUCCUUAGCUGGUCUGAGAGGAUGAUCAGCCACACUGGGACUGAGACACGGCCCAGACUCCUACGGGGGGCAGCAGUAGGGAAUAUUGGACAAUGGGCGAAAGCCUGAUCCAGCAAUGCCGCGUGAGUGAUGAAGGCCUUAGGGUUGUAAAGCUCUUUUACCCGGGAUGAUAAUGACAGUACCGGGAGAAUAAGCUCCGGCUAACUCCGUG
rnacentral:rRNA from 1 species